CCUCCUCUCACUUUCUCAAGCGAAAUGUUGAAACUGAUUUCUUAAAUUAAAAGACAAAAAACCCUAGACUUUCAUUCUCCAAAUCUAUUUUCUACCAAAUCCUCAUCUGCUCUCUCUAAACGUACAGCCACCACGCCAAACCUUCACAUCUUUCGCCGGCGACUUAUCUGUUCUCUUGUGAGCAGCGGCGGUGACCAGAGCGAGGCAGUAGGGGAAAGCUUGGGCUACGAUCUGCGGCGACGAUAGCGACAGCAACAACUGCGAGCACCACGGGCUACGAUCUGCGGCGACAGUAGCUCUUUCUGACCGUCGCCCAUCGCCACACCGUCGUCGUCUCCGCUACCCAGCCAUAGCCACAGCCGCCGUAGCAGCAUCGCACAGCCUCCAUCGUCUCGGCCUCCGCCACAGCCGCCGCACCAACCAUUUUUGAGCCCACAUUGUCAGUCCUAUUUUACUGCUUCCUAGGUAUCAAGUUCUGAGAAGACUAUCAAUUAAUUGACACACCACCAGAAGUGUGUGCUUGUGGAUACACAGGGUGAUGGUAAUAAUCGAAAAAUUACAGCUUUCUUGGGUGGUCUUGAUCUCUGUGACGGUCGCUGUGAUACACCUGAACACCGUCUAUUUCAUAAUCCAAGUCGUAUUAAUUUUCAUUUGGACUCAAGAAAGGCAAGUUUUGCUAAUGUGGAUCCCUCCAUGUAUUCUAGUGAAUUUUAUUUGACAACUUCACACGUACACUGCAGGAAGUAGAAACAACUCCUGCGUAUCCAGAUAUAUGUUUUGUCGUUGAUGAUUUUGAUUCUACUUUUGAUGGAGUGGUAAUGCAUUGGUUCUCUUCUUUAGUAUUGGUAGAAUUACCUUGUUACACUUGUUGCUGUUCAUAGAUGCAUUCAAGCUUUAGCAUGCUGUUCAAACUCACUUUGAUGAGGCUGUUUCCCCAAUUGCAUAUAUUUAUGUGUCCCAUAUGAUGUCCUCAUGUAUGCAUCUCUCUCAUGUAUGCUGGAAGGAACUGUAUGCUCGUGGUGACAGUAUUCAGGUUUACACUUGAUCAACUUCAUUGAAGGAGGUUGUGGAUGCUGCAUUGAUCAAAGCCAUUGAAGCAGUGCCGGAUUUGAAGGCUUAUUUCGGUGCAACGAGCAUACUUAUGUAGUAUCAAAUAAGUAUAUUUUCAUACUUCAAGUAGUACGGAGUAUCAAUCAAGUAGUAUAUAUUUUUUAUGUUUUUUAUGUUUUUUUUUUUUUUUUUUUU